GAAAUGCGAUAAGUAAUGUGAAUUGCAGAAUUCAGUGAAUCAUCGAAUCUUUGAACGCACCUUGCGCUCCUUGGUAUUCCUUGGAGCAUGCCUGUUUGAGUAUCAUGAAAUCUUCAAAGUAAAUCUUUUGUUAACUCAAUUGGUUUCUACUUUGAUAUUGGAGGUCUUUGCAGCUUCACACCUGCUCCUCUUUGUUCAUUAGCUGGAUCUCAGUGUUAUGCUUGGUUCCACUCGGCGUGAUAAGUUAUCUAUCGCUGAGGACACUGUAAAAGGUGGCCAAGGUAAAUGCAGAUGAACCGCUUCUAAUAGUCCAUUGACUUGGACAAUACUUUUAUGAUCUGAUCUCAAAUCAGGUAGGACUACCCGCUGAACUUAAGC
rnacentral:misc_RNA from 1 species